UACGUAGGUGGCAAGCGUUAUCCGGAAUUACUGGGCGUAAAGCGCACGCAGGCGGUCUUGUAAGUUUGACGUGAAAGCUCCCGGCUUAACUGGGAGAGGUCGUUGAAGACUGCAAGACUUGAGGAAAUGAGAGGGUGUAGAAUUCCCGGUGUAGUGGUGGAAUGCGUAGAUAUCGGGGGGAAUACCAGUGGCGAAAGCGGCACCCUAGCAUUUUCUGACGCUCAUGUGCGAAAGCGUGGGGAGCGAACGGG
rnacentral:rRNA from 1 species